rnacentral:piRNA from 1 species
UGUUUUUCCAUUGAAAUGACA